GACAGGCCAGGGCCGAUGCCACGGAGUGACCAGGGUCCCGGCAGAAUCUCUUGCAGCUGGGCAUGGGGCUGACAGGGGAAGGGGGCUGGACUGGGAAGCUGUCCUGCCUCCACAUCGCCCAGUGACCCUGGACAAAGCUUUGCCUCUCUCCGGGCGCCAUUUCCUGCCCCUUAAGGAGAGCAGAACGAGAUCUCAUCCCGCUGUGAGCUGGGGCACGGGAGGACGUGGCUACCCCAAAGCAGGCUUUGCCUGGGCUUCAGCAGUCACUAGAGGCCCCACUCCAGCCCAUUCUCCGUGGGAUGGGGCUCACCCAGCUGGGCCACAGUGACUGUGGAGGCUGCACAGUCUUGACUCUCCGGGUGCCUCAGAACUACAAAGAGCUGGAGCUGCUGCGGCAAGUUUACUACGGAGGCAUAGAGCACGAGAUCCGCAAGGACGUCUGGCCCUUCCUGCUUGGCCACUACAAGUUCGGCAUGAGCAAGAAGGAGAUGGAGCAGGUGGACGCAGUGGUGGCAGCAAGGUACCAGCAGGUGUUGGCAGAGUGGAAGGCCU
rnacentral:sRNA from 1 species